GGUAGCGUGGCCGAGCGGUCCAAGGCGCUGGUUUAAGGCACCAGUCCCUUCGGGGGUAUGGGUUCGAAUCCCAUCGCUGCCA
rnacentral:tRNA from 1 species